ensembl:lncRNA
GAGAGGGGUUUGCAGUGAGGCUGUGCAGGAGCGUAUCUGGAGAUAAGGAGAUGGAUGUGCUACUUUGUUUCAGAUUGCUUUCUGACGGUGGUUUGCAGACCAGAAGUUAUUACUUUAUGGUUUAAAUUGAUCAAGCUGGCAUGUCAGAUCUCAAGUUCAUUCAUAAAACAAAUCUGCCUGUGAUGGAAAGAAAGAUGAUGGGAUUGUUUGAGCUAACGGAUGCUUCCUUUAACAAAAAAAAAUGUGAAAAUGAGACCACUGCCGCAUCAGCCAAUUAAAGCACGAUUUUUACAGUGCCUGCAAAUGCACCAUGAUUUUCCUAAAGAGAUUUUUAAAGAGCAAAUAUAAACAAAUCAUAUGGUAGUACUAUUUUGUUAUUGAUUUCUUCUUCUCCACAUGACUCCUUUAAAGUAGUUACUAAGACUCUUUAGAGGUACUGGAUGAACACAAUAAUGAACUUUUGCUCUUUAACUUUUGUGUUGAGUAUGUGUCUGUGGAGCUGUGCCAGCAUUUCAGGAAAGUUCUGAUCUUUAAUACACAGCGUGGUACCAGCAACACCCGGGGCUCCUGGACAACAAGGGUUUCUCCAAACGAUUAAACAUGUUGACAUUACAAGGUUCAAGAAUAAAACAAUUGACACAGCUGGAGCAGGCUGAAUCUGUCUUUUUCUUUCUUGCUUGAGGUUUGGGGGGAGUUGAACAGUUCCUACAUGCACCUGUUCAUGGCUGUAGUAAUCUCAAUCCAUGAUCAUCCAUGGGACAGGCCAAAAAAUUCAGCCCCAUGUGGUGUCUGUCACCAGAUGUAUAAUAUCUGGCUUCAGUGGUUAUGGAUGGGAUAUCCUGAUGAUCAUCUGAGAGCUGUAUUAAUUAGCUCAGUACAAUGGAACUUGGUCAGUAUUACACAUACCUGAAAUGCUUAACAUUAAGGAGGUAAAUCAUUGGGUGCUAGUGGUUAUUACAUAGCAAGCUAUAUGGCAGCGUGAGCACUGACAUUGUGCCAUGUGGGGUUCUACAUAUAGCACCAUAUCUAGAGCUUUCUGUGAUUUUUCUAUGAAAUGGAUAAUUUAAUAUGUACUGCUGAGACAUUUGUAAACUGAGGUAAAUAUAACACUUUGGUUUUCUUUUAGGAAUCAUGUUCAUUUGUCUUAUUUGAUUUUUGUUUUCUCACACUCAUUGCUUUGAUAGCUGUUUGGGCCAAAGGGGAUGAUUUUCUGUGAGUGUUUCCAUCAUUGCAGGUCAAAGCGACCUUGUAUCAGCACAUAUUAAUAAAAAAACUAUUUAAA